rnacentral:rRNA from 1 species
AUUGAACGCUGGCGGUAGGCCUAACACAUGCAAGUCGAACGCGAAAAGUCCUUCGGGAUGAGUAGAGUGGCGGACGGGUGAGUAACGCGUAGGAAUCUAUCCUGUAGUGGGGGAUAACGUUUCGAAAGGAACGCUAAUACCGCAUACGCCCCAAGGGGGAAAGCGGGGGAGUCGCAAGACCUCGCGCGAAUGGAGCGGCCGAUGUCAGAUUAGGUAGUUGGUGGGGUAAAGGCUCACCAAGCCAACGAUCUGUAGCUGGUCUGAGAGGACGACCAGCCACACUGGAACUGAGACACGGUCCAGACUCCUACGGGAGGCAGCAGUGGGGAAUUUUGGACAAUGGGCGCAAGCCUGAUCCAGCCAUUCCGCGUGAAGGAAGAAGGCCCUCGGGUUGUAAACUUCUUUGACAGGGACGAAUAAAUGACUGUACCCUGAAAACAAGCCACGGCUAACUACGUGCCAGCAGCCGCGGUAAGCAUACUCGUA